ACUUCUCUUUGUUUUCAAUUUUUCUAAUCUCAUUUUCAUCUUGAUUCCAAUUUUGUUUGUUUCUCUUAUUUUAAUUGUGGUUUUUGUGUCUUCCUUUUUUGCUUGAUGAUUUACCAUCAAUUGAACUGUUAUUACAUGUGACAACUAAAUUAACUAGAUGGUAAUUAGAUUGUAAAUAUUGGGUGAGAAGACAAUGUGUCAUAUGUAAAUUAGAGGGAAAACUGAUGCCGACAUAUUGAUUAUUAUUGUUUUUCUAUUUUCUGUUUCUUUCGUGUUUUAAUUUGAUCUUCAUAAUCUAUGGUUUGUAUUGUACAUAAUUUAGUACAAUUAACGUUAUUUAUUGAUUGUUGUUCUCUUGGACACAACUAUUUUGAGAACAUUUUUUCUGUUCCUUUUGUCACUUUUUGUAUUGGGAACAAUUUUUGCAAGACAAUGGAAACCAUUGAUUCUCAAUUUGUUUUCUCUUUGGUUCUCUAUUGUUUGGAAAGGAUACAAUUUUUCGGAUGAAAAAAAAAAUCCAACGAGAGAUAAACAAUCAAUAUUCAUAAGUAAAGCGUAGGCGCUAAGGUGAUGAUUUUUACACCAAUGGUUAUUUGAUUUUAUUACCAUGACCGAAAGAUACAUGAGAUAAUAAGUGGACUUUAAAGAUGACCAUUGUUGGAAAACGACUAACCAAUUGUUCAAACUAGUAAACAAAAACAAGGAAAUAAUUGGUGGUGUUAAUUGAUAUAUAGAGAGAGAUUAAUGUUUCUCUCUUUUUUUUUGUCAAAUCAACAUUGACACUCAGGCUCUCUUAAAUUACGCUGAUCAUUAAGGUAUCAUGUAUCUUAUUUUCUUGAUAAUUUAAUUGAAACUCUUGUAACAUAUUAUUAAAUCAUCCAACCAACUGACUGAAACUUUUUCCAGAUGAUUCUGGUGAUAAUGAUGAAGAUAAAAGAUGAUGAGCAAUGACAUUGGAACAACGAAAGACACAAAAUUUACAAAAGAACAAAAUUUUCUCAAAUUAACAGGAAACCAAGUUGAGUUAAAGGCCUUAAGGCAUAAAAGGUUACAUCAAAUUCAUAGUUUGUAAGAUUGAGAAAACAAUUAAGACUAUGGUCGAAAUGGUGUAAAUAAUUAUACCCUGUGGAUGAUGACGAUGACGAUAAUAAUGAUUAUCUUUUUGACUUUUAAUUUUCUGAGGCUACCACCAACUCCACCAACUCCACCACCAUCACAACCACUCCAACAACAACAACUACAUUAGGCUGUUAACCCAUCAAAAGGAUGUUCCUUGCAAGUUUGAUUGUAACGAAAAAGAAUAGAAAAGGAUUACAUUGAGUGUGUAAAAUUUUUCUCUUCUCAUCAUCAUCAUCAUCAUCCUUUUUCUAACGUGUUGGAUGUACACAUAUUGGUAUAUAUUAGCUACUAUGAGGUAGAGAGAGAGAGAGAGAACGUUUUUCUAUUUUCUGCUGCCACUGUAAUGAAGGUUCGAAGGUGUCAAAAGUUACACCUUCGAAUGUUGUUACAUUACAAUUAACCUGCAAUCAGGUAAAAAGUUAAUUCUAGGUUAUAUCAACUUGGAAUAACCCUCAUAACACAUUAGGUUAAUCGGUCGAUGUACCAAAGAAGAAGAGGAAGAAGAUGAUGAUGAUGAUGAAAAAAGAGCUACGAAAAGAGAAGCUAAAGAUGAAGGUAGAUGGUGAUGAGGAUGAAGAUGAUGAUAAUGAUAAUGAAGAGGAGGUAUAAAGGUUAAGCAAAAAGGUAAAAGGUAACAAAAAAGGGCAGGUAAGUUAUUUUUUUCUUUCUUUUCUCUGUCCAUGAUAAUUUUCUGCGGUAGAUUACGAGGUUUACCUGUUAAGCGGAAAAAUGAGUUUACAGCGAAAUAACAACAACAAUAACAACGAGUUGAAAACGGGAAAGAAACAUUUUGGCCUAAGGUGUUAUCCAUGAAAUUUAUUAGAAGAUGAUGAUGAUGAUGAACCAUUCGAAUUGAUUGUGUAAAGUAUUUUAAGUAUAUCCAAAGAUAAUCAUCAUGAUCGUUUUUAUCGUUUUUCAUCUUACAACGAACAUUUUUCUUCUUUUCUUUUAUCUAGAAAAUUAUCGGUUUUAUUGUUUUCUCUCUUUAUUAUAUCUCUCUCUCUCUUUCUUUCUUUCUCCUUUUGGCCCACCCUACAUACAGAAACACACACACACACUUUUGACUAUCUACAGAACUGUCAAAAUUUGUUUUAAUCUAAUUUCAUGUUCUGUUAUUAUUAUUGUUGUUACUUGUUUAUAAUCAAUGUUAAAUUAACUGUUCAAUGUAUUAAUGGUUUUCCUUUUCUCUCUCUCUCUCUUUUUCAUCUACAGUUAUUAUCAUAAGUGGUAUCAUGAUGAUGAUCAUUAUUCACAAUUAAUGGAGCACAGGAUUUGUGGUUUGAUUGGUUAAUCGUUUAAAAAUUGAAAGUAAAAUUGGAAUGGGAAAAAUAUCAAUAAGCAAUAAUGUAUAAUGAAAAACGCGUGCAAGUUAAUCAAAUAUUGGGAAAAAGGAUUCGUCAAAACCACAACAACACAACAUAUGAGAGGAUAAAAUUUUAGAUGAGAUUGAUGGUUUACAGGGUGAUUAGGAUGGCGAAAAGAAAGAGAAAAAGAUUAGUUCUUUUCUCUCAUCUUCCUCAUCUUCAUUAUCAUCUUAUGUAACCAUUAGUUUACAUCUUUGGUGGUCUCUCCCUCAAUCUCUCUCACUCACUUUGCUGUUGGGCGAGUAAAUUGAAUUUGAAAUUUGCGGGUUACUCUUUUGUUUAAAAGAUAAUCAUCUUUGAUGAUAUUAUAUGUAGUUACGAUUAUGAUUAUCUUGAUUAUUAUAAUAACGUUAUAAUAAUCAAGGUAAAGAAAAUGUAAUAACUUGAUGUUUACUUGAUUGUGAAUGAUAUUAAGAUUUACAUUCAUAUUUGAAUCUAUCAAUCUAUUCAACGUUUCUUGUUGUUGGUUGGUGGUUGUUUCAUUUUUCUGAAUUAAUUUGAUUUCUAUUGCAAUUUCAUUCUCAUCAAAUCAGAUUAAUUCAAAUGUAAGCCUAUCAUUCAAAUAAUAGUAAUAAAUGUUACUAUUAUUACUAAAUUGUUAUUACACAUCAAAACUGUUAAUCGUAAACUUAAUUCAUUCAUUUACUCACCUUUUUUUUAAUGAUAAAUUAACCGAUUGUUUCUAAUUCUGAUUGUAACAAUUUAAUCUUCGUAAUUGUUGUUAUUAUUAGUUUUUUUACUGGUUAAUCAGUUUUUUUUUGUUUUCCAUUAAUUACAAUUUUCCACUUUGACACAGAAAAUGUUACAAUUAUAUUAUUAUAUGAGCUAAAUUGUUGAUGAUGAAACAAUUUAUCCUUAAACUUUUUCCAAGUAUCAUGAUGAUGAGAUUUAGGUAAUUGUAUUAUAAUCAAAUUAACCAACUAACCCUUUAUUUAUAUUUGAACAUGUGUAUGUAACUUAAUUGUUGACGGUGUUCAUGUUGGCUGAAUGAUUGAUUUGAUUGUUAACUUAGUUGUUUGGGUUAAUAAAUCAUUGUGAAAGUCACAAUCAACAUAAUCAUUAUCGACAGUAUCAAUAUGUGAAUAUGGUUAACAUGGUAACAUAUAAUUGAAGAAAAAGUUUCAAAUGAGUGAGAAUGAGAGAGAGAGAAAAAUUAAUUGCUUUUCUCAGCAAUUAAUGAAAUUAUGGUUAAGUUUACAUUUUUCUUAAUCAUUCUGAUAAUCAUGUAAUCAGUCAAAAACAUUUCUCAAGCUUUUUACUAAUCAUUAACUAAUCUAAUGUUUCUUAUUAUUUUCUCUCAGGUUACUCUUGAUAAUCAUCAUCAAGUUAAUCAUUUGAAUCUAUUCUUGACAAUUAACUCUUUUUGAUGAACUAAGCGAGAUCCUCGGAGCCAGUAGCAUCAAGUGCUCUUCACAAUUGCUAAAUUAAUCAACAGUGUAACAUGAUCAAUUAGAUGGAGAGAGAGAGAGAGAGAGAGAGACACUCAUGGAGAGAGACACAAGAAACACUCACACUCACACAAUUAAACAGACAAUUAAACUUACUCUAAUUAACCCCUUGGAAAAUUGAUAAGGAAACAAAAAGGAGACGAGCUAAAAUUACUUGGAAUCAAUAACCACAACAAUUAACAAUUUCCCACUCGCGCAGUACUAAAAUUAGACUCAUUUCCAUGAAGUGAACUGAUUAAAUUUCCUGUGAAUUCAAUCAUCACAAUCAAAGUCAAGAGACAAAUUAUCAAGCAAGAGGAAAUUCAAUAACAAAAAGAAAACCAUUCAAUAUCCUUACAAUUAAGUCUCCAAUGGUCAUCAUCAUCAUUAUCAUCACUGGGACCAUAAAAACCCAUUGGAAAACCCAAAGACAAAACUAACUGGAUUAGCAAGAUAAACAAGAUGCUAUUUACCGUUACUUUUACUGUUUCCAGUUGCGUUACUAAAUCGACUCACCUUAAUAUGAUGUGUGAUACUAAUAAAUUACUUAUUGGAUAAUCACAUGUUUAACUAUGGAUCAAUGUUGUUUAUUAUACUCCUGUCUAUCUCCCUCUUACACACAUACUCUCUCUCUCUUUCUCUCCCUUACUACCUGAUAAUGAUGAUGAUAAUAAGGUGAUAUUUGAUUCAGCAAAGUACAUACAAAUAUUAUCGCCAUAGCAGAAGUCAUCAUAUAUACAAUGCUAAUAACAAGAAGCAGGGUAAUACUAAGGGUGGAGGAAAAAGUUACACAAAAAUCCAACACGAAUUGAGCAAACAAUUUGAUAACAAUCUAAAUUGUAAUAACAUCAUCAUCAACAAUUAUGGCCUUUUGUUUCAAAACCUAUGAGACCUGUCGUUGGUAAUAUUAUCAUGAUGAUGAUUAUGAUGAUGAUGAUGAUGAUGAGAGAGACGCUGUUCAACAUAAACUCAAGUCCAUUAUAAACAACUAGAAAGUUUUUCUUGCUGGAAGGUUACAAUUUAUAUAUAUAAUAUGUAUUAUACACCCCGUAUAUUUAUUUAUAAAUAUAUCACUCAUCGUAAUGAAGACAAAAGAAAGAGGAUAAAGAGAAACCAAAGUCAUCAUCAUCAUCAUCGUCAACAAUUUAGUAUAUUGUACUUAUUGUCUCCAUUGUUUUUCACCUUAUUUUUUAUAAUUAUAAUUGCAAAGGUAAAUGAAAAUUUAUCAGUUGAUUAAUUCAUCAAUUGUUGUUGAUUAAGCAGGAAUAUUGAAUGUAUCUUGUAGUUUGCUAUUUGUUUGACCCUGGACUUUAGGAUGAUCAUGAUUAUGAUUAUGGUGAUAAUAUUGGAAAAUAACAACAACAAUUCAAUGAGAUGAGAGAGAGAGAGAGAGAUAAAAUAAACUGAUAAAUUGGAAAUGAUUUCUUGGUGUUGUCCUUUUACCUGUUGAUUGGUUAUGAUUCUGAACCAGGAUUCUAACCUUGAUUCUCAUCUUGAUGGAGAAGAAGGAAAGAAAAAGAUGAUUCCUGAUGAUAAAUAUUCUGAAUAAAAACAGGUAACAUGGUGGAGAAAACAAGUUGGAUUCUUAACAAGAACUUCUCAAACCAAUUAUAUCAUCAACAUAACACGGAUUAUGAUCAGAAAAAAAAGAAGAGAUUGAGAAUCAGAUGAAGAGGAAAAAAAAGAUGAAUUAUCUCAGAAAUUGGAAUGAAAAGAAUUUCCAAUCUUGUGAAGAAGAAGAAGAAAAAAAGGUUCGAAAUAAGAAGAAGAUGAUGAAAAUAAUCAUUUCCAAUGAAAGAGAUUGAAUUGAAUUCAAGUUAUAUAUCCGGCUAAUUAUUGUAGGAAGAGAUUAACAAUAUCAUCUGAUUGGAACUGAUGAAAUUGAAAAGGUAUCCAUAUCCUGUUACCUUUUCAAAUGAUCUCAAUAGUAAACACCUUUGUAAAUGACUGUAAGUGUUCAUGAUGAUUUUCAGGAAAACCAAUCAAUCAAUUGUGAUACAUUUUCUGUUUUCAUAAAUUUUGUAUUCAUCUCUCAACCAUAGGAAUCAAUUGAUUCAUUUACCUGAGAGACAAAUUUUACCUUUUCAGAUUUGGAAAGAAACAUUUCCACAUCAUUAUCAUCAUUACAUCAUCUUUGCUCAUUCAUUGGAAAAGUGAGAAUCUAUUUUUCAUCUUCUUUAUCUUCAUUAGAUAUCAUCUUACUCUCUCUCUCUUCUUUCUUUUGUUUACCUGGAAAGGUAAGAAAGAGGAAAAUGUAAACAUCGACAGAUUCCGGCUUCUUUAUUAUUAUUUUGUCUGAGGAUGAUAAAUAUGAUGAUAAUGAUGAUAAAAAACCACCAUCGACCACACACAACAAUCAACAUCAUUAACUGAUCAUCUAUUGUUAUCAUCAUUAAAUUGCUGAAGAUUAUGAUGACCACCGGAUACUUUUAUCCGCCACAAUAAUCAUCACUUUAUCAUCUCACUUUUUUUCACUAAUCAUUAAUUAAUCAAUUUAAUGACUAUUAUAAUUAUGAGAAAUUGAAACUCUCUCUCUCUCUUUCUUCAUUAUCCUUAAUUGUUUGCUUACAUCUUAAUGAUUACAAAUUAGUAAUUAGACAAUUUAAACAAUCAAUUUCCCUUGCGAAUUGAUCAAUUGAUUUGAUUGUCUUAAUCUUUAUCCAAUUACAAUUAUCUCUCAAUUUUCAGGUAAUAAUUUAACUUUUUGUGUUUCUCAUAGUGAUAAUCAACUAAAUUGUUAGCACUGUAUUGGAUUAAUUGCUAAUUACUGUUCAAUUCAAUUAAAUCUAAUCUGGUGAUCAUCAUCAUCAUCAUCAUUUUUGUUGAAACAAAAAGUUUUAAAGUCUAUUAAUAAUUAGAUUUGUGUUAAUUUAGUUAACUAAUUUAUUUUUUGUCAUAUUGAUUAAAGGGAAGAGACCAGAAAAACGUUGAUUGUUAACUGUUAAUUGUGAUGAUGAUGAUGCAAAAAAAUUGGUUCAAAGAAAGCGUAAAGUAUCAGGAACGAUUAGAAACUGCAAUUAACAGCAAAUUAAUGGUUUCCACCUUGGAUUGAUGUAGUUACAGUGCAAUUUAAUUGUUAAGUAUCUUGAUGAUCAUUAAAUUUAAUAAUAAUCAUUGUCUAAUUGUUAUUAUACCCCCACAGUCCUUUAAUAUGGUUGCUGAUAUUAUCAAGACUUGGAUUCUGUAAAUUAUUACCAGUCAACAUAUUCAACAACAAUAGCAAACAAAUCAUGAAAGUGUCACAUUAAAUGAUGAAAAGAUGUUGAAGUUGUAGUUAUCAUCAUCAUCAUCAUCAUCAUCAUCACAACAACAACAACAACAAUUGGUAAACAUUGUCCAUUUGAUUUGUUACCUACUGUUGUUCAUGGAUUUAUUAUAUCAUCAUUAUCAUGCUAUUUACCAGCAUAUGAUAAUUAUAAUAGAUGAUGAUGAUGAUCAUUUGUAAGAGUCAACAAUUUACUAAUUGCUGGUUAAUUUUCACAGUUUAAAGAGGCAAAAUUGGAUCUCUUAUGGAUGAAGAAUUGGAAAUGAAAAUAUGAACAAAUUUCCGGAAAAAAAAUGUUACAUGUUGAUUGGAUUAAAUUUCCUCAUCUGGCAACCAUGAUGGAUCAAUUUACAUCCUCAUCCUUAAUCUUAAUCAUCAUCAUCAUCAUCAUCUUCAACCUAUACAUUACAUAACCUGAUUUGAAAAACUCUCUCAUCAUCAUCAUCAUCUUCAUGAUAAUAUAACAGAGUUUGCGUUAAUUUAAAGUUAAUUUGAAUUGGUUGAUAGUAAACAAUUUAAAGUUUGAUAGGAAACCAACAGGUAACAAUUAAAUUCUCUGAGUUGAUUAACUGAACAAUUUGCGUUUUCUGGUAUCACAAUUUAAUCACCUUGAUAUCUAACACAAUAAUUAACUGAUAUUAAUCAAAAUAAUUUACGUCAUUAGCUAAGAUACCAGAUAAUGAAUGAAGAUGAAGAUGAUGAUGAUGAUGAUAUUAUUUUCAUCUGAAUUUCCAUAUUGUCAGCAAAGGUAAAAAAUAAAUUAUCUGAUUAACAAGAUGAGGAAAAAAAGGCGAAGAGAAAUGUAAGUGUAAUGGUUAUCAUCAAUUAU